rnacentral:lncRNA from 1 species
ACUAUUAUUUCUUUAUACCAAACAAAACUUUUAUAAAAAAAGAAACUAGUAUAAACAAACAUGGACAUAUUUUAUAUGAACAUUUUAUAUAUGUUAUAUGAAAAGUUUUCAUUGAAUCUGAUUCUUAAAUAUCACAAAUUCAUAAACUGCAUAUGCACCUUUGUCUUAUAAAUUUUUGGAUUUUAAAUUUUCAGUCAUAGAUCUGUGAUCUUGUAGGACUUUCUAUUCUUGGUGAAAUUAAACAAUAUUCAUAAAAUUAUAAAAUUUUAAUAUUUAUAAUAAAAUUGAUUCUAAUCUUCAACUUUUAAAUCAAUAAGAGAAUUAGGUUCAAAUUUUACAUCUUAUUUACAGACAUUCAAAUGUAAUAAUAAAAUAAAACAAUUUGUAAAAAUUGAAAUUUUUUAAUGCGUUACCUUGAAACGUGACACAUCUUUAAUCUCGCAUUAAACAAAUCUUUGGGAUAAGGCCAGCGCGCUAAUCGCGUGAACGACGGCCAAUUCGCCCAUUCAUUCGCAUUUCGGGAGCAUGACUAGUGUCACAUGGCAGUCGAUUGUCACGUAUGUAUACGCGACGAACUUGCUUGCACCACACGCGUGACACAUUCUAACAUGAGUGGGAGUGACUACAAUCGAUUGUAUGUGACUGACGUUACAUCGCCAUGGUGACACGCGAAAACAAAUACGCGCGAUCGCAUGGGACACGCUGACCCACAGUAAGCCGCACGAGUUCAGUGUGUCACGUAUACGACAGAAAAGGACCGAGAGCUCCGUCAGCCUUCGACCUGCACGAGGAAAGCACGGCGAAAGCGCUCUCGCUAACGACGAAUUUGCAGGGACAAUAAAGUUGCAACUAUAGUUGCAUACAGAAUCCAUCAUUCAACGAAAUGAAAGUAGAAAUUAAGAAAGUAAGAUAAAUUAUCAAUAAAUGCCACAUAUCAUAAUUAUAAUAAUUAUGUAUGAUAAUAGUAAUAAUAAUAAUAACUCAAAUUUAUUGAUUCCAUUUUGUAAUUAAAUCCAACUGACGAAUGUAUAUAUGUUUGCUACGUUGUAAUUAAUUACUAAAUUAUUAAUAAAUAUUAAUUACUUAUUACCUUGUGUGUACGUUAUUUAGGACACUAAUUAGAAUAAUCAAUGAUCAAUUAAAAUAAAUCUUAAUAAUUUUUCUUACGAUAGCCAGGCAUAUUAUGAAUUUCAAAAUAAGAUACAUAUAUCACAAGCAAACACAUCAAUAGACUUGAUUGUUUACGGAAGUGCGUAAUUAUUAUCUUCGUAAUUAACGUAUUAUUUUACAUAGCGAGGACAAGCAUCAUGUUUUCCAUCUCGUUUGAAAAAAUACCUGAAGAUUCUGAGAACAACAUAUUUUCUAUUCAGGCGCGUUAGAUCGAAAUCAAUCAAUUAGAAUGGCAAAAGGCCGAACAUGUGUCACGAGAAAACGGAGUAAACAUACGUAAGCAUAGAUAUACAUGAAAAAAAAAAAAUUAUUACAGGUGAAACGGGAAAAACAGAAGUGUAUUGUAUUGCAUGUAUACAUUCAUAUGUUAAUCUACGUUAUAUGUUAAGCCCCGCAACACCGUCGCGCGAUGAUAUUUUCUGUGACAUAAAUUUAAAUUGGCCGCAAACUGCAGUGUGUCGACACUCGACACGCGCAUUGUCUUCCUACGUAAUAAUAACGGUCAUUAAGAGAAGUCUGCAAAGGAAAAAAAAAAAGAGGUUCAUAUCGGUUUACUUGCGCGAUUUUUCACAAGUCCGCGCCUGUAUUUCGUUAUUUUAGAAGGACUGCUCGGCAGAUAAAUCAUUCCAAUUUAUUUGCAUAUCUGUGGGCGCGGUGCUCGGGACAAACGCUCGCAGAUUAACGACUGGCGACAGUGUACUCGAUGCAUAAAGCUUUCAUAAGAUUCGACAUUUUUCUAUUCUCGCAAUGUGGGUCAGUGUCGGCGACGGCUGGUUCAUUUACUUACGGCACGUAACGAAAGAUCGCCCUUGUACAGGCGUAUCGUGCACGAAUGACAGGACAGCUUAUCAGGGAAAUUAGCAUUGCGGCAUUGUUAUCGAAAACUUUAUCAUCGCGGAAAAGUACUUGAAAAAAAUGUUUGCGAAUUGUGGAAAGUGAAACGCUUUCACCUAAUUCUAUUUUUUUAUAUUCUGAUAGAAAUCUAAUUCGUUUGGAUAUGCUUAUGUUUAUAAUUAAAAAUUCAUAAAUUUAAGAAUGAAAAAAAUAUUUCGUAAACUUAAACAACGAUUUCAAAAUUCAGUAGAGAUGUCUUAGCUUCAUAGUGCAUUUGCAAAGCCAAGAACAAUUAAAAAACAAUGAAAAAUGUUUUAAGAAUGAUUAAAAUAAACGAUUGAAAUAAAAACAAUGAUUAAAAAAUAAUUUAUUCACAGGCGUAUUUAAUUUUUAACGAGGGAAUAGAUAAAUGACUUCUAUACAUACGUAGGACAUAGAAUUGUCACGUGGAGAACGGAAAGAAUGACAACAAAACGGUCACACCAAUUUACUAUUAUGAACAAUUAUGACAUAAAACGCACGUGUCUGCAAGUCUUAAAUAAAGAUUCAAUUCGUUAACACCUCGUGUUCAUCUACAAAUUAUCCAUUCGUUUUACUCACUUAUCGUCCAUUUCUAUUCAUAUUCUAAUAUAAAAAACUUUAGAAAAAUUUUCUUAAAAAAUAUAAAAAUUCUUAGUUUGUAUAUGAAUAUCAUACAUACAACAACAAACAAAAUAAUUUACAAACUUGACUCGAAAUAAUUAAAAAAAA